CCCAUUCUCUUUAAUAUUUUUAUUAGUGAUAUUGCAGAAGGUCUUGAUGGUAAGGUAUGUCUUUUUGCUGAUGAUACUAAGAUAUGAAACAGGGUUGAUGUUCCAGGAGGGAUAAGCCAAAUGGCAAAUGAUUUAGGUAAACUAGAAAAAUGGUCAGAAUUGUGGCAACUGACAUUUAAUGUGGAUAAGUGCAAGAUAAUGCAUCUUGGACGUAAAAACCCAAGGGCAGAGUACAGAAUAUUUGAUAGAGUCCUAACCUCAACAUAUGAGGAAAGGGAUUUAGGGGUGAUUAUUUCUGAUGACUUAAAGGUAGGCAGACAAUGUAAUAGAGCAGCAGGAAAUGCUAGCAGAAUGCUUGGUUGUAUAGGGAGAGGUAUUAGCAGUAGAAAGAGGGAAGUGCUCAUGCC